AACUUUUGACAACGGAUCUCGCAUCGAUGAAGAACGCAGCGAAAUGCGAUACGUAAUGUGAAUUGCAGAAUUCAGUGAAUCAUCGAAUCUUUGAACGCACCUUGCGCCCCUUGGAAUUCCGAGGGGCACACCCGUUUGAGUGUCGUGAACAUCCUUCAACCUUUCUUUGGUUUCUUAACCGGGGAAGGCUUGGACUUUGGGGGUCUUUCAUUGCUGGCCUCUUUGAAGCCAGCUCCUCCUAAAUGGAUCAGUGUGGUCUGCUUUGCCGAUCCUUGACGUGAUAAGAUGUUUCUACGUCUUGGGUUUCGCACUGUCGCUUUAGACCCCGCUUCUAACCGUCUUGCAUUCAAGACAGAGUUUUAAACCUUGACCUCAAAUCGGGUGAGACUACCCGCUGAACUUAAGCAUAUCAAUAAGCGGAGGCU
rnacentral:misc_RNA from 1 species